GCGCAGCGCUGGAACCACGUAGGAGGCGGCGGCGGCGGCGGCCCCGGCCCCGGGAGUGGCAGAGUCUUCGGCCCGGCCCAGAGUGAACGAGCAGCGGGGCUCCAGGGCGCAUCCCAAUCCCCGCAGCGCCUCCUCCUCCUCCUCCGCCGCCGCCUCCUCCUCCUUCCCCUCCUCCUGGCUUCAUUCACCCUCCCAGCAGCCGCGCAGCCGUUCACUCCCGGCUCCGGGCAGCGCCUGCCGCGGCUCCUCGGUUCCUGCCGCGGGCGCUGGCAGGGGCGCCGGCCCGGACUGGGGCGCUCGCGGGCUCGCGGCUCCGGGCGGCGGCGGCCGCUGCACAGGAUCAGGAAGCGGCCGCACCAACAGGGCGGCGGUGGCGGCGGCAGCCAGGGCCGCCACCGCCACUCCAGCCGCGCUCCAGGCACCCGCACACCCGCUACCCCCGCGGGGUCCCCGAGGCCACCCCUCCGCGCCCCCCGCCUGGCACCCGGCCGAGCGCAAAGUCCCGGCCCCUUGGCUGGAGCAGUCCCUUCCCAGCCCACAGCCGUACAGCCGGCGAGGCCGGCCACGGAGGGAAGACCCUCGCCCAGGGGCGCCGAGGCCGGGCGUCCACCCGCGGGGAAGUGCAGCCCUCCCCGAGACCCCCCCUCUCUCACCGCCCUCUCCGGAGAGGAGGAAUGGGAAGAGGGCGGCCGGGAAAGGGACCAGCCCCCCACCCCGGCCGCCGCCGCCUCCCCCUGCGCCACCCGGAGGGAGGAGGACAUGGCUCUCGGCACUCGCGACCGGACCAGCAGUCUCCAGAGCGGGGCGCCGCCGCCGCUCUCCCUGCCCGCGCCCCCCGCCCGGGCGCGCCCCCUAGCCCGGCGGGCGCCCACCCGGCCCCUGACAGCCCCCCCGAACGGCCGCCCCUGCGCCCAGAGUGGGGGUGUCGGCCUGGGAGCCUGGAACCGGGGACGGUUGUAUGUACACACACACGCACGCACACACACACACAACACGACGCGUCGAUUCCCUUCGCUCCUCUUCCAGCUGUUUUCCGUGCAGCCGAUUGGGGUUUUAGGGUUUGUUUGCUGGUUGUUGCUUUUGCCCCUCUCGGGAGAUAGGGAGAGGAGGGAUUUUAAUCUAAAUAAGGGGAGAAGGGGAUGGGGGAGGGGGGAAAAGAAUCAGAGGAGGAAAAAAAAUAGCCACUUACUGUAA
rnacentral:lncRNA from 1 species